UUUUUUUUAGGUUAUUUUUUUUUAGGUUAAGUUUUUUGACAAUCCUUAAUGUUUACAAAGCGAAAGUUUCCAAAUAUCAAGGCGAAUUCUUGAAGGGAUUUUUAUGGGAUUAUUGAAAUUUCGGUGAUAAACAACAGUUUCCUGUACCCGGAACGGAAUUAAAGGGCCCCCCGAUAGUCGGCGCCACCGCAAGCGCCAAAUUAGAAACUUUAACGCCGCCGCGCCGAAUAAAAAUUUUUACGGCCUUAUUUAUCGUUCGGGGCCCCGUAAAUAUUUCUUUUCCGAUCGCUAGAGAAGCGAUCGCCUCGGUUUUAUAUACACACACAGAAUUAUGGUAAAAUUUAUCUCGACAAAAAAUUUUUCCCAAAAAACGAUUUCAAGUUAAAAUUUAAUGCAGUAGUAAAAACACUCGUAGUAGUAACAUCAUGUGGAAACGAAAGAGAGGAAAAGGGGGAUGGUGUUUUAAACGAGGAGAUAGAGAAAGAUGGAAAGAAUAAAGUAGCGUAGUAAGGAGGGGAUGGUGGUGGUGAAAAGAGGGUGGAUGGUCGUCGUCGUUUCCCUCCCCUGUCGUCUCGACGGUUCUCUGUCGCCGCGACGCCGCUUGUACAGACGUGGAUGACGUCACCGUCGGCGUCGGCAUGUCCAGAGAGCGGGCGACGACGGCGGCGGCUGCUGCUGCUGCCGGCGUAGCCCCGAUAUCUCUUCUCGAGUAUUGUGCACUUUUACAUGAGAAAAAGACCCGAGAUCGUAAGUGCUCUGUUUAGGGGAAAAACGGCGUAGUCGUUGAUCAUUUCUCUUCAGCGCGGGGGUGAGGGAGAGAAUUGGUGCUGAUCGGAAUUGUUGUAUACUUCUCUCCAGAAUAGGGGGAAAAAAUUGUAAAUGAAACGAUACGAAAGAAAUGAAUUUGACAUGCACGAAGGGGAUGAUUGUAGGGCGCCCCUUUUUUCUUGAUUCUCGGGAUAUAGUUUAGUUGUAUUGAGUAUUUGUAUAUGAAAGAAGUUAUAAUGGAAAAAGAUGCGAUACACAUCAAUCACUUUUACAAUAAGUUUUAUCCCUCCAUAAAUAAGGGUGAAUAAUUUAAGUACAUUUUAUUUUUUUACCCAUCAUAAUCGUUAAAAUUUAACAAAAAUUUUAAACAAUUUUUAUAUAUUUUUUUAUGAAUAGGGUAGAAAUGAGGAUGGAAAGGUUUUUAGUUGGGGUAGGUCGAAGGAAUUUCUUAGGGGAAUCUCGUAACCUCAUUUAAAUGUAAAGCCUUCCCACAGAACGAUUUACGAAUUAAGAGAAACUCACAAAUUAGAUUAAUAAAGCCGGAGAUAACUAUGACAACUGUAAGGCUUAUGAUCAGUGCUUCUCGACUUAAUGAAGAUUGUGAUAUUAAUAGUAGCGUUUCAAAGAAGACAGAGAGAGAAAAUUUUGUUUAAUCAAGAUGAGGCCGCUUGCGGCUGAGGCAGUAGAGUUGAUAUACAAUUUUAGACAACAUAUUACUAUGAAGUAUAUAUUCUUCAAACAACACUGCCUCAGUCGCAAGCAACCUCGACUUAUUGAAUCGUCAUCACAUCUCUCUCAUCUAAGUUAAACCGAGGUUGCUUGCGGCCGAGGCAGUAGAGUGUGAUAUACAACUUUAGACAAAACUAUGAAGUAUAUUGUAUUCUUCAAACAACACUGCUUAAAUCGCAAGCAACCUCGGCGUAUUGAAACGUCAUCACUAGGGCACGAAACUUUUGUAACAAAACGAUACGAUUUCCCCCUCCACUCG